UGGGGAAUAUUGCACAAUGGGCGAAAGCCUGAUGCAGCGACGCCGCGUGAGGGAUGACGGCCUUCGGGUUGUAAACCUCUUUCAGUAGGGACGAAGCGCAAGUGACGGUACAUGCAGAAGAAGCACCGGCUAACUACGUGCCAGCAGCCGCGGUAAUACGUAGGGUGCGAGCGUUGUCCGGAAUUACUGGGCGUAAAGAGCUCGUAGGCGGUUUGUCACGUCGUCUGUGAAAUGCUAGGGCUUAACCCUGGACGUGCAGGCGAUACGGGCUGACUUGAGUACUACAGGGGAGACUGGAAUUUCUGGUGUAGCGGUGGAAUGCACAGAUAUCAGGAAGAACACCGAUGGGGAAGGCAGGGCUCUGGGUAGUAACUGACGCUGAGGAGCGAAAGCAUGGGUAGCGAACAGG
rnacentral:rRNA from 1 species